rnacentral:misc_RNA from 1 species
AAGUCGUAACAAGGUUUCCGUAGGUGAACCUGCGAAAGGAUCAUUGUGAUUUGAGCUCCGGCUUUCAUUUUCCACACACCUGUGCACCUGGUCUCCGGACCCUAAAAAAUAGUGUAACGAACGUAAUAAAUUAUAAUCAAUAAAA